rnacentral:rRNA from 1 species
AUGCAUGCCCUUAUCGGUAUGGUUCCUCUAGAGCCUCGGGAACCAGAAGCAGAAGACAAGAAGAAGGAAAGAGUCGCAGCCGGUGCUCCUUUCACGUGGAUAACAUAUCACUUUGGUACUUACCCUGAGGAAGCUAAUGAGGAUGAGGUCAACACACAUACUCGUGUCUACAUGUGGUACGUGAUAUCCAGAACUAUGUUUGCUGAUGGCACAUGCAACAAUGCUCCAUGGAUGUGGCUGAAGGCGUUCAACGUCUUCGAUAGCAAAUGGAGUUGGGGUUCGGCGACACUGGCUUACUUGUAUAGACAGUUGGACGAAGCCUGUUGUAGGCCAUCUGGAGGUAUUGGUGGUUGUAUGCUCGCACUUUCCAUAUGGAGCUGGGAGCGUUUGCCGGUUGGACGACCGAAGACCGUGAAGUACGAGGAUUGGGACCACAAAGAUGACCCACUACGGCUCCCCACUUGGGCUUACAAGUGGGAUGUGUUAAAUGAGACGACGGAUGAUCCCUCGGUCAUGCACAAGUUGUACAAGAUCGAGCUGGAGACGAUCACGGCUGAGCAGGUGGAAUGGGAGCCGUAUGGAAGAGGGGAAAUUUUUGGUAACCCUAUAGAGUUCAGGCUGAAUCUGAUGUGCACUAGGGAUAGGGAUCGCUGGCAUAUGCGUUGCCCACUCAUAUGCAACUGGGCGGUUGAGCUUCACCUGCCACAUCGGGUGUACCGCCAGUUUGGUUUGUUCUAG